GGGUCGGUACCAAAGCGGUCAAAUGGGACAGACUGUAAAUCUGUUGGCUUACGCCUUCGAAGGUUCGAUUCCUUCCCGGCCCA
rnacentral:tRNA from 1 species